AUAUGAUAUAGAGGUUGCAGUUGUCAUUAGUACUCUUUAGGAAAGGGUCAACUGCCGAAAUGCAUGAGAUAGAUCAUGUGUUGGGAUUAUACUGAAUAAGUAUGGUACUGUCUUCAGAAAAUUGCCCAAUUUUCUAAAGGAGUGCUUAUCAUAU
rnacentral:ncRNA from 2 species